UACGGAGGGGGCUCGCGUUAUUCGGAAUUACUGGGCGUAAAGCGCACGUAGGCGGAUUGGAAAGUCAGAGGUGAAAUCCCAGAGCUCAACUUUGGAACUGCCUUUGAAACUCCCAGUCUUGAGGUCGAGAGAGGUGAGUGGAAUUCCGAGUGUAGAGGUGAAAUUCGUAGAUAUUGGGAAGAACACCAGUGGCGAAGGCGGCUCACUGGCUCGUUGCUGACGCUCAGGCGCGAUAGCGUGGGGAUCAAACAGG
rnacentral:rRNA from 1 species